rnacentral:rRNA from 1 species
GCAUAUCAAUAAGCGGAGGAAAAGAAACCAACAGGGNAUUGCCUUAGUAACGGCGAGUGAAGCGGCAAAAGCUCAAAUUUGAAAUCUAGCACUUUCAGUGUUCGAGUUGUAAUUUGAAGAAGGUAACUUUGGAAUUGGCUCUUGUCUAUGUUCCUUGGAACAGGACGUCACAGAGGGUGAGAAUCCCGUGCGAUGAGAUGUCCAAUUCUAUGUAAAGUGCUUUCGAAGAGUCGAGUUGUUUGGGAAUGCAGCUCUAAGUGGGUGGUAAAUUCCAUCUAAAGCUAAAUAUUGGCGAGAGACCGAUAGCGAACAAGUACAGUGAUGGAAAGAUGAAAAGAACUUUGAAAAGAGAGUGAAAAAGUACGUGAAAUUGUUGAAAGGGAAGGGCUUGAGAUCAGACUUGGUAUUUUGUGUUCCUUAUUCUUUUUGGAUUUGGUUCCUCACAGCUUACCGGGCCAGCAUCGGUUUGGAUGGUAGGAUAAUGACAUUGGAAUGUAGCUUUGCUUCGGUGAAGUGUUAUAGACUUUGUUGAUACUGCCUAUCUAGACCGAGGACUGCGUCUUUGACUAGGAUGCUGGCGUAAUGAUCUUAAGCCGCCCGUCUUGAAACACGGACCA